rnacentral:rRNA from 1 species
UACGUAGGGUGCGAGCGUUGUCCGGAAUUAUUGGGCGUAAAGAGCUCGUAGGCGGUUUGUUGCGUCGGCCGUGAAAACUUGGGGCUUAACCCCGAGCCUGCGGUCGAUACGGGCAGACUUGAGUUCGGCAGGGGAGACUGGAAUUCCUGGUGUAGCGGUGAAAUGCGCAGAUAUCAGGAGGAACACCAGUGGCGAAAGCGGCUUCCUGGUCCGACACCGACGUUCAGGCACGAAAGCGUGGGGAGCAAACAGG